GAUGAACGCUAGCGGCAGGCUUAAUACAUGCAAGUCGAGGGGCAGCGCAGUGUAGCAAUACAUGGGCGGCGACCGGCAAACGGGUGCGGAACACGUACGCAACCUUCCUUUAACUGGGAGAUAGCCCACCGAAAGGUGGAUUAAUAUCCCAUAGUAUGAUUGAAUGGCAUCAUUUAGAUAUUAAAGCUCCGGCGGUUAAAGAUGGGCGUGCGUCUGAUUAGGUAGUUGGCGGGGUAACGGCCCACCAAGCCCACGAUCAGUAGCUGAUGUGAGAGCAUGAUCAGCCACACGGGCACUGAGACACGGGCCCGACUCCUACGGGAGGCAGCAGUAAGGAAUAUUGGUCAAUGGACGCAAGUCUGAACCAGCCAUGCCGCGUGGAGGAUGAAGGCCCUCUGGGUUGUAAACUUCUUUUCUUUGGGACGAAACCCCUGUUUCUACGGGGACUGACGGUACCAGAGGAAUAAGCCCCGGCUAACUUCGUGCCAGCCGCCGCGGUAAAAC
rnacentral:rRNA from 1 species